UGGGGAAUUUUGGACAAUGGGCGAAAGCCUGAUCCAGCAAUGCCGCGUGUGUGAAGAAGGCCUUCGGGUUGUAAAGCACUUUUGUCCGGAAAGAAAUCCUCUGGGUUAAUACCUCGGGGGGAUGACGGUACCGGAAGAAUAAGCACCGGCUAACUACGUGCCAGCAGCCGCGGUAAUACGUAGGGUGCAAGCGUUAAUCGGAAUUACUGGGCGUAAAGCGUGCGCAGGCGGUUUUGUAAGACGGAUGUGAAAUCCCCGGGCUUAACCUGGGAACUGCAUUCGUGACUGCAAGGCUAGAGUAUGGCAGAGGGGGGUUAGAAUUCCACGUGUAGCAGUGAAAUGCGUAGAGAUGUGGAGGAAUACCGAUGGCGAAGGCAGCCCCCUGGGCCAAAUACUGACGCUCAUGCACGAAAGCGUGGGGAGCAAACAGGAUUAGAUACCCUGGUAGUCCACGCCCUAAACGAUGUCAACUAGUUGUUGGGGAUUCAUUUCCUUAGUAACGUAGCUAACGCGUGAAGUUGACCGCCUGGGGAGUACGGUCG
rnacentral:rRNA from 1 species